CUUGAAAUCAAAUACAAAUGUCUCGAGAACGUGUGUUAUUUCGGGUGGGGCCCUGCAAAUUUGCGCAGCUGCCUCGUGGCGUUCGAUGACCGAGAAGCGUCUACACAAACGGAACCGCUUAACUGAAUAUGAGACGGAGGACGUGUCUACUAAUGAGUAAAUCACGGGUUUCUUGUUUUCUACCCGAGCAACCUACCUGACCUAUUAUUCGUUGCAGAUGCAGGUUCAGUGAGACCCACACAUGGGACCAGCUCUGCCACCGCAGGUGAGUUCCCAGUACUCGGAAAGUGGGUGAGAUAACUUUUCAAUAAUGAUAAAAGCGGAGGGCGACAGAGAGAGAAAGGGGAAACUGCCAUUUGGGAAGUCGGAUCGCGAGGAAAGCAAUCAGCGAAGCGGCCGAGGGUUUUCGUGGGGAGAGGAGAACACGAGAACCGGGGAGAGGAGGGGGCAAACUUUCGAUCGAAACCCUAGGAUCCUUCUUUCUCGCAGGGGCUACGGCGCGGCUGCCAUGUCUGCGGGGAUCUGCGGCAAGCGCCUAGGGUUGGAGGAAAUCUUCGGGUCUCCGUUGCCGCCUCCGCCGUCGGCCAAGAGAUCUCGCUGCGCUCGCUACGGAUCACCUGUCCGCCACUCCAACUCCGACUUCGGCCUAGGAUCCGAGGAUAAACUCUCCAUACUCCUCCGCAUGUUCCCCGCGAUGGACCGGAAGGUUGUUGAAACAGUUUUGAAUACUCAAGAUCACAAAAUUGAUGAUGCCAUAAAGAGUCUCCAUGCUCUGUGCCUUGGUGAUGGUUCUUUGAGCACUGAAGGAGUGAUCUCUGAUUUACAAUCAAAUGAUAGUGUUCUUGAAGGUGUCAUGAAUUCACAGACAUCUGGAGAGAAAGUUGAAGUCUCUGAGAAUGAUGGGGCAGACUUCCAGUCUGGGGAAGCCGGAAAAGGAACUUCUUGGGUUGAUAUAUUUGUAAAGGAAAUGAUGAAUGCCUCAGAUUUGGGUGAUGUGCGUGGUCGUGCAAUGAAGAUCUUGGAAGCUUUUGAAGGAGAUGUUGUUGCUCAGACUACAGCAGUAGUAGAGAAUGAGAGUAAUUUGUUAAAGGAGCAACUCCAUUGCUUAGUCAGAGACAACCAGAUCCUAAAGAGGGCUGUUGCUAUUCAGCACGAGCGAAAUUCAGAGAAUGAGGAGAAGAUUAGGGAGGUGCAACAUUUGAAGCAUGCUAUUUGCCAGUAUCAAGAGCAAGUCCGGGCAUUGGAGAUGCACAAUUACACAUUGAAGAUCCAUCUUCAGAAGGCACAAGAAGCUAAUUCUAUUCCAGGUCGUUUCCAUCCAGACAUGUUCUAGGUUGCAUAUAUCAAUUGUUCAAUUAUGGUUGUGAGAUAUAAAUGGGUAACCAAGAAAGAGCUUGAAAGUGUAUGUUUGAGUUGGUAAUUGAGCUUUCCUCAUUAUGUGCCACAAUUAAUAACAAAUCAGGAUCUUGUUACAGCCAGUGCAGGGGAUAUAAAAAAGUUGAGACAUGCAGGGAGUAGGAAGCUGAGUAGAAGUCUACUAGUAGAUGCUUGAAGGAAAUGACGAACUCUGAGUAGGUUGCAUUGCAACAUCAGCAAGUUUGCUUGGCUAUGGCAUGGAUGGUUAUCGCUGAGUAUGGCUUUCAUGCUUCCCAUUGUCUUCUUCUUCGACUCCCAUGGUGUUGUGUUGUGGCUCCAUGACCUGAACAAGGUAUAUAUACAUGGGAGGAACAGGGUGCCCUCAAUAAAGGCACUCGAAUGAGGAUGUUAUGAACCUGCUUUUAACAUCCUGGUUCGGAUUCAAAGUACUCGCUCUUAGGCAAAAUGGUAACACAACUCAUCCUUGUGCAUUUUCAUUCGUUAGAUAUUAACCUCUCUAAUAUAUCUUGCUCGCAUGGUAACUAUUCUCUCUAAUAUAUGUUUGGGUUAAAAGAGUGCUUAGAGCUGUAAUUAGAAUUGUACAAUGAGAUUUGUCAUUGCAAGUAGAUUGUUUUGAUGCUUAAGGUCAGGAUAAUGGCAUGCCUUGAUAUCAGGAUCUGUGCAUGGACCUUGAUUGCUUGAAUAUAGGAUCAACCAACUAAAAUAUCUUUUUCUUAAACAGCCUUUUCACCUUUUUUUUUAUCUCUGUUCCACUUUGAACUGCUUUUCCGAUAACUGUGUUGCAUCUCUUCCUCCUUUUUUAUAUUAAAAAUCCUGGAAUGUGCAUAUAAAAUUUAUUAUUGGUUAAAAUAGUAUGUCUGGUUUGGUUGAUCAAAGAGUUAAAAAAAAAAACUCUGAUUUUGUAAUACUUAAAGUCAAGACUAAGGUUUCAAAUUUUGAGUUACAUGAUAAUAAUCCAAUAAAGAGCAUAAGUGGAAGUCAUAGAUUUGUGGCUGGUGCAGUUGGUAGUAGUUAAAUUCUCAUUAUGGACAGCAUUGGUGAUAUUAAGGAAGGUAUGUUGAACAAUUUUAGUUUGAAGCUGGUCAUGGUUAUAUGCUGUUUUUCCUUUUGCACAUUGACUUGCAUGAUAAUAAUCCAAUGAAGAGCAUAAGCGGAAGGCAUGUUAAAUUAUCAUUAUGGACAGCAUUGGUGAUAGAUAUCAAGGAAGGUAUGUUGAACAAUUUACUUGUCUUCUUUUGGGAAUUGUUUUUUGGGUUUUAUGUCUGAAUGGUGUUGCUCUAUAGAAGAGAUUUUACUCGACCCCUAUUCAGUGUGAGAUACUUGUGAGACUACUUUCAAACAAUUCAGUUGGUUUUAUUUUUUUUUAUUUCACCCUUAAUAUCAGGCAUCCCGAUCUCCCCUUUUGAGUUUUAUUCUGAGCGUUUAUGUUCUUUGUAUAGGCUAUAGUUGUUCUGGAAUCACCAGAUGACUUGUUCUUUGUAUAGGCUAUAAUUUCUCGAGAGCGUGUUCUUACGAGAAAUUAAAAAAAGACUGAUCUUCGAUGGUCAUUUGUCAGUUACAUUCAUAUAAAACAGUGCUUCCUUUUGUAUCUA